rnacentral:misc_RNA from 1 species
GAGAACAUCGCCCUCGCGGGUGACUCUCCAACCCUAUGUUAUUGUACCUUUGUUGCUUUGGCGAGCCGCUUCGGCCACCGGCUCGCGCUGGUGAGUGCUCGCCAGAGGACCUAAAACUCUUGAAUUUAAUAUUGUCUGAGUACUAUAUAAUAGUUAAAACUUUCAACAACGGAUCUCUUGGUUCU